UUUUUUUGUCUCCAUAAAAUGGAACAAAUAUGCAUUGGUAUGCAACACAAGAAUUAUGAGUACAGAAUAAAAUGAAAACUCAAACAGUUUUGAAAAUGAUAGGGUUGGUGCUUUUAUGAUUCUUCUUAUAGAUGCAACUAUAAUUAAUAUGUAAAACAUGAACUAAACAAAAAAAAGAAGUUGUUUAAUGACUCUAUUGAGGGUAUUGGGACAGAAGGUGUUUGCUUUUUGUCAACAAAAAAACAAUAGCCAUGGGUAAAUAUAAGUGUAUGUUUGCCGACUUUUUGGACUCAAUAUACUGUCAUAAAUCUAACAAGUUCGUGCUUGUGUCAAUUGGUUUAAUCUAGUUAUAUUUGUACCAAUGUGUUCCACGAUUCUUGCUCUUUGGAUAUAAU
rnacentral:lncRNA from 1 species